rnacentral:rRNA from 1 species
AUUGAACGCUGGCGGCAUGCCUUACACAUGCAAGUCGAACGGCAGCGGGCCUUCGGGUGCCGGCGAGUGGCGAACGGGUGAGUAAUGCAUCGGAACGUGCCAUUGAGUGGGGGAUAACGUAGCGAAAGUUGCGCUAAUACCGCAUAUUCUGUGAGCAGGAAAGCAGGGGGACCGCAAGGCCUUGCGCUCUUUGAGCGGCCGAUGUCAGAUUAGCUAGUUGGUGAGGUAAAGGCUUACCAAGGCGACGAUCGUGUAGCGGGUCUGAGAGGAUGAUCCGCCACACUGGAACUGAGACACGGUCCAGACUCCUACGGAGGCAGCAGUGGGGAAUUUUGGACAAUGGGGGCAACCCUGAUCCAGCCAUGCCGCGUGAGUGAAGAAGGCCUCGG